rnacentral:rRNA from 1 species
CAGUAGCCACGGUAAUACGAAGGGGGCUAGCGUUGCUCGGAAUGACUGGGCGUAAAGGGCGCGUAGGCGGAUUGUACAGUCAGACGUGAAAUUCCUGGGCUCAACCUGGGGACUGCGUUUGAGACGUGCGAUCUAGAGUUUGGAAGAGGGUCGUGGAAUUCCCAGUGUAGAGGUGAAAUUCGUAGAUAUUCGGAAGAACACCAGUGGCGAAGGCGACUGACUGGACAAGUAUUGACGCUGAGGUGCGAAAGUGUGGGGAGCAAACAGGAUUAGAUACCCCUGUAGUCCCUGUCUCUUAUAC